GUAGGUGAACCUGCGGAAGGAUCAUUACUGAAGAAACAAGGGUUUUGAGACUGCGUCCUUCAUUGGCGUGUGCUCGGGCCCUUACUCUUUCAAUCCCAUACACACCUUUGUGCACCCAGGGACCUUGCGUCCCCUUUUUUUUUCAUAAAUACCGAGUUAUAUAUGCAUGUAUAUUUUGUAAUACUCUACGGAGUUAUAAAUACAACUUUCAACAACGGAUCUCUUGGCUUUC
rnacentral:misc_RNA from 1 species